CACAGGGCAGGGUGGUGGCCAACAGCCACCCGGGGUGACCCGCGGGACAGUGCCACAGAGAACAGACCGCCGGCUGCUCGGCAGCCGGUAAGGGUGAAACGGUGGUGUAAGAGACCACCAGCGCUCCAGGUGACUGGAGCGGCUCGGUAAACCCCACCCGGAGCAAGUCCAGACAGCGUGUGCACGGCGCCUUCGGGCGUCGAGGAGACCGGCCCGGUCGAGCGCGCGGGUAGGACGCUAGAGCCGGCCAGCAAUGGUCGGCCCAGAUGGAUGGCCGUCGCCGCGCCACCGGUAACGGGGGCGCGGA
rnacentral:RNase_P_RNA from 12 species